rnacentral:rRNA from 1 species
GUGGGGAAUUUUGGACAAUGGGCGCAAGCCUGAUCCAGCAAUGCCGCGUGCAGGAAGAAGGCCUUCGGGUUGUAAACUGCUUUUGUACGGAACGAAACGGUCCGGGUUAAUACCAUGCGCGAAUGACGGUACCUGCAGAAUAAGCACCGGCUAACUACGUGCCAGCAGCCGCGGUAAGACGUAGGGUGCAAGCGUUAAUCGGAAUUACUGGGCGUAAAGCGUGCGCAGGCGGUUUUGUAAGACAGGUGUGAAAUCCCCGGGCUCAACCUGGGAACUGCACUUGUGACUGCAAGGCUAGAGUGUGUCAGAGGGAGGUGGAAUUCCGCGUGUAGCAGUGAAAUGCGUAGAGAUGCGGAGGAACACCGAUGGCGAAGGCAGCCUCCUGGGAUAACACUGACGCUCAGGCACGAAAGCGUGGGGAGCAAACAGGAUUAGAUACCCCUGUAGUCC